rnacentral:tRNA from 1 species
GCCAAUUUGGCUCAGUGGAUAGAGUGUUGGCCUGUGGACCGAAGGGUCCCGGUUUGAUUCCGGUCAUGGGCA